UGGCGGACGGGUGAGUAAUGUCUGGGAAACUGCCUGAUGGAGGGGGAUAACUACUGGAAACGGUAGCUAAUACCGCAUAAUGUCGCAAGACCAAAGAGGGGGACCUUCGGGCCUCUUGCCAUCGGAUGUGCCCAGAUGGGAUUAGCUAGUAGGUGGGGUAACGGCUCACCAAGGCGACGAUCAGUAGCCGGCUUGAGAGAGUGAACGGCCACAUUGGGACUGAGACACGGCCCAAACUCCUACGGGAGGCAGCAUG
rnacentral:rRNA from 1 species